AGAGUUUGAUCCUGGCUCAGGAUUAACGCUGGCGGCGUGCAUGAGACAUGCAAGUCGAACGGACACAUGGGGCUUGCUCUAUGUGUUAGUGGCGGACGGCUGAGUAACGCGUAGGUGACCUGCCCCGAAGUGGGGGAUAACUGCCCGAAAGGGUGGCUAAUACCGCAUGUGGAGGUUCGUUCAUUCGAACCUUCAAAGCAGCAAUGCGCUUCGGGAGGGGCCUGCGUCCGAUUAGCUCGUUGGUGGGGUAAUGGCUCACCAAGGCGACGAUCGGUAGGUGGUCUGAGAGGACGAUCACCCAGACUGGGACUGAGACACGGCCCAGACUCCUACGGGAGGCAGCAGUCGGGAAUUUUGCUCAAUGGGCGCAAGCCUGAAGCAGCAACGCCGCGUGCGGGAUGACGGCCUUCGGGUUGUAAACCGCUUUUACCAGGGACGAUAAUGACGGUACCUGAUGAAUAAGUCACGGCUAACUACGUGCCAGCCGCCGCGGUAAUAC
rnacentral:rRNA from 1 species